GGUGGAGAGGCCCGAGCUGGGCUUUCAGUGUGACAGGAACUUCCAGUAUGAACCCUGACAGGCUCAGUGUUGACCAGGCCAAAAUCCUGUGACACACAAAAGAUCGCCAGGCUCCUUGGUGUGCUCCGAGGCCUGUCAACCAGGGGAGAAGCUGCUGCAGCGGAGCCGCCACCGAUGCUGCUUCAACUGCAUGGCUUGUCUGUCAGGAACCUUCCUGAACAGAUCAGGUCAGUAUUCCCCAGGGGGCUGCUUUUGUCCCUGCUUGGCUUCCCUGCCUGCACCCUGCUUCUCCUUCUGUCAGCUCCUUGCUUCCAUCUUGCCAUUCCCACAGCCUCUUCCCUCACGUUCUCUCUUCCUCCCUGUGAUCAGUAAAAACCUCUGAGCUGA